rnacentral:rRNA from 1 species
CAAUAGCGUAUAUUAAAGUUGUUGCGGUAAAAAAGCUCGUAGUUGGAUUUCUACCGAAGAUAGCCGGUCGGGUCUUCGACCUUGUAUCUGGUUUUGUCUUUGGUAUCCUCAUAGGGAACGUUUCUGCGCUUUAUUGCGUGGUGCGGUAUCUAUGACUUUUACUUUGAGGAAAUUAGAGUGUUCACGGCAGGCAAACGCCUUGAAUAUAUUAGCAUGGAAUAAUAACAUAGGAUCUUCGUCCUAUUUUGUUGGUUUCUAGGGCUAAGAUAAUGAUUAAUAGGGAUAAUUGGGGGCAUCUGUAUCAACGCGUCAGAGGUGGAAUUCUUGGAUUGCGUUGCGACAAACUACUGCGAGAGCAUUUGCCAAGGAUGUUUUCAUUGA